GCUAGGAUGAACGCUAGCUACAGGCUUAACACAUGCAAGUCGAGGGGCAGCAUGAUCAAAGCUUGCUUGAUGAUGGCGACCGGCGCACGAGUGCGUAACGCGUAUCCAACCUGCCAUGUACUCCGGGAUAGCCCUCUGAAAGGAGGAUUAAUACCGGAUGUGGUUGUUUGAGGACAUCCUCUUACAAUUAAAGAUUUAUCGGUACAUCGAUGGGGAUGCGUACGAUUAGUUAGUCGGCGGGGUAACGGCCCACCGAGACGACGAUCGUUAGGGGUUCUGAGAGGAAGGUCCCCCACAUAGGAACUGAGACACGGUCCUAACUCCUACGGGAGGCAGCAGUGAGGAAUAUUGGUCAAUGGGCGAGAGCCUGAACCAGCCAAGUAAGCGUGAAGGAUGACUGCCCUAGUGGGUUAGUAAACUUCUUUUAGGGGCGAAUAAAGUGCCGUACGUGUACGGUUUUGUAGGUAUCCCCUGAAUAAGCAUCGGCUAAUUCCGUGCCAGCCGCGGC
rnacentral:rRNA from 1 species